GUAGGGAAUCUUGCGCAAUGGGCGAAAGCCUGACGCAGCCAUGCCGCGUGAAUGAUGAAGGUCUUAGGAUUGUAAAAUUCUUUCACCGGGGACGAUAAUGACGGUACCCGGAGAAGAAGCUCCGGCUAACUUCGUGCCAGCAGCCGCGGUAAUACGAAGGGGGCUAGCGUUGCUCGGAAUUACUGGGCGUAAAGGGCGCGUAGGCGGACAGUUUAGUCAGAGGUGAAAGCCCAGGGCUCAACCUUGGAAUAGCCUUUGAUACUGACUGUCUUGAGUACGGGAGAGGUGUGUGGAACUCCGAGUGUAGAGGUGAAAUUCGUAGAUAUUCGGAAGAACACCAGUGGCGAAGGCGACACACUGGCCCGUUACUGACGCUGAGGCGCGAAAGCGUGGGGAGCAAACAGGAUUAGAAACCCUAGUAGUCC
rnacentral:rRNA from 1 species